rnacentral:rRNA from 1 species
AUUGAACGCUGGCGUCAGGCCUAACACAUGCAAGUCGAACGAGUGGCGGACGGGUGAGUAAUGUCUGGGAAACUGCCUGAUGGAGGGGGAUAACUAAUGGAAACGGUAGCUACUACCGCAUACCAUCAGAUGUGCCCAGAUUGGAUUAGCUAGUUGUUUGGGUAACGGCUCACCCAGUCGACGAUCACAAGCUGGUCUGAGAGGAUGACCAGCCACACGGGAACUGGGACACGGUCCAGACUCCUACGGGAGGCAGCAGUGGUGAAUAUUGCACAAUGGGCGCAAGCCUGAUGCAGCCAUGCCGCGUGUAUGAAGAAGGCCUUCGGGUUGUAAAGUACUUUCAGCGGGGAGGCGUUACCCGCAAAAGAAGCACCGGCUAACUCCGUGCCAGCAGCCGCGGUAAUAC